CCCUUCACUACGGAAUAGCCUCUGGAAACGGAGAGUAAUACCGUAUGCGCCCUUCGGGGAAAGAUUUAUCGGUGAAGGAUUAGCCCGCGUCUGAUUAGAUAGUUGGUGGGGUAACGGCCUACCAAGUCGACGAUCAGUAGCUGGUUUGAGAGGAUGAUCAGCAACACUGGGACUGAGACACGGCCCAGACUCCUACGGGAGGCAGCAGUGGGGAAUCUUGGACAAUGGACGCAAGCCUGAUCCAGCCAUGCCGCGUGAGUGAUGAAGGCCUUAGGGUCGUAAAGCUCUUUCGCCAGGGAUGAUAAUGACAGUACCUGGUAAAGAAACCCCGGCUAACUCCGUGCCAGCAGCCGCGGUAAUACGGAGGGGGUUAGCGUUGUUCGGAAUUACUGGGCGUAAAGCGUACGUAGGCGGAUCAGAAAGUUGGGGGUGAAAUCCCGGGGCUCAACCCCGAACUGCCUCCAAAACUCCUGGUCUAGAGUUCGAGAGAGGUGAGUGGAAUUCCGAGUGUAGAGGUGAAAUUCGUAGAUAUUCGGAGGAACACCAGUGGCGAAGGGGCUCACUGGCUCGAUACUGACGCUGGGGUACGAAAGUGUGGGGAGCAAACAGGAUUAGAUACCCUGGUAGUCCACACCGUAAACGAUGAAUGCCAGUCGUCGGGUAGCAUGCUAUUCGGUGACACACCUAACGGAUUAAGCAUUCCGCCUGGGGGAGUACGGUCGCAAGAUUAAAACUCAAAG
rnacentral:rRNA from 1 species